rnacentral:rRNA from 1 species
GACGAACGCUGGCGGCGUGCCUAAUACAUGCAAGUAGAACGCUGAAGGAGGAGCUUGCUUCUCUGGAUGAGUUGCGAACGGGUGAGUAACGCGUAGGUAACCUGCCUGGUAGCGGGGGAUAACUAUUGGAAACGAUAGCUAAUACCGCAUAAUAGUAGAUGUUGCAUGACAUUUGCUUAAAAGGUGCAAUUGCAUCACUACCAGAUGGACCUGCGUUGUAUUAGCUAGUUGGUGGGGUAACGGCUCACCAAGGCGACGAUACAUAGCCGACCUGAGAGGGUGAUCGGCCACACUGGGACUGAGACACGGCCCAGACUCCUACGGGAGGCAGCAGUAGGGAAUCUUCGGCAAUGGACGGAAGUCUGACCGAGCAACGCCGCGUGAGUGAAGAAGGUUUUCGGAUCGUAAAGCUCUGUUGUAAGAGAAGAACGAGUGUGAGAGUGGAAAGUUCACACUGUGACGGUAUCUUACCAGAAAGGGACUGCUAACUACGUG